rnacentral:lncRNA from 1 species
GGUCACUCUAGGCGAGGUAAUUCCACAAUAGAACGAUGCUAAUCGAGAGUACUCGACGCAAUACAUUGCGUACAAACCACCAAAUGGAAUCAGCCUGUCCCCGAAUUUCAAGUGGACAGGGUCAGUUCAGCGCGUGCUCUUCUUCCUUUCUCCGGCAAGCAGCAUGCAACGUAAGGGGGAACCUCUUGCAACUGUUGACAGCAUCCUUCUACCGUCUGUUUGCCCAGUUCAUUCUGUCACGUCCGUUGAGCACGGCCAUCUUUCAGAAUCCCCCGUGUACGGUCCACAGCCAGCAGGUAAUCCUCCUUGGCGCGCGUCUUUUUCGGCAUGGCCACUCGCUCUCGUCUGGUGGCGACAGGGCGGGAAACACCUCAUUCUUUUUCCUGUUCCUCUAAUGUACUUCUUCGAAGCAGCCAAUGUGAGAGUUAUCCGGUAGAUUCAAGUGCGUCGUCGAAGCUUGCAUUCCUUGUUGCUCCAGCGUAUAUUUCCACUCCGGAGGCCUCGCGCCACAAGACUUCUCCCAGCCCUCUGUGGUCAGGCUAGAGUCUUGCACGUUGUAAAAGCCACUGCAGAACACGAGCGAGUAUUUUCCCGCCAUCGGGUUCCGACGGGAAGGAAUGGUAUACGUCCAAUCCAUGCAGCUGCGGAUCUGCAUACGCCCGCACCUUAUCGAUGAGCACCGCUUCUACGUUACAUUCGACAUACAAAUUCCUCGGUAAAACACGCUUUUCGUCGUCUUCACAAGGAAGGCACUUGAUGGCAGAAGACGUGCUGUCCCCGAUCGCCUUAAUGGACCUUUGCAUACUCUCUCGCUGAUCCGACAUUCUGUCAGCCGGUGCAUUAAAAGGAGUUUGAUUAGGAACAAUCUCUGUGCCAGCGUCUUUAUUCACGACUGCCGAGCCGGGCUCUGAAUUUUUAUUCUCUGCGCCUGGACGAUGCCUGCUGCGCGUCCUCUCCCUUCCAAAUGCUUCGUACGUGCACUCCGACAGGGUAUGCUGAACACACCGACACUCUGCUGAUGCAACACCUGCCGGUUCGCGUGGCUCUUCAGCCUGCGUCUCCCCGCGGUCACCUAUACUUCCUCCCGCCGCCCUGUCACCUUCUCUGAUCUUGUGAAGUGGCUGAAGCGCGUCGGGUCUUCCACAUUUAGCGAGAGUAGAGGCCAGUGCAUGCAGUGCAUCGUUUUUUCCACCUCCCACAACUGCCGCUGUCGUUCCAUUUACGAGAUCCGCAGGUGUCAGGCACUGAAUAGAAGACGUGCCGUCCACAUACGCAUUCACAGCAAGGAAGCUUCUAUCUCUGAUUCGCUUGGCACCAUGGAAGAGCCGCAGAGUCCCCUCUACUCCACAGACACCAUCGAGCAGAUUGUGCAUGACUAGCAGUGCCCCGCAGGUACUGUCAGACAUGAGGGCCAGACAGUCUGGAUGGAGGAUCGCGUCUGUUCCUUCAAACAUUUCUCUCACCAUUCGCAUUCGCGAUCCGCCCUUAUACGUAUACUUAUCCCUUUGCGAGUACGCCUCCAGGUAUGGAUAUUCCGCAUUCUGAUGAGGCCGCGAUACAACGACGUUCGGUGUCCAAUCUGCUAAACGGACAAUCAAGUGUCGGUAGAGAUGAUACUUAGUCGUCGUCUUCACAACAGUGAGAUCCAACAUCGGUGAGAGAAGCACGCAGCCAGCUACACCUCCAGUGGUCGGUGCCACCUGGCAUUCUCUCUUCCCGAGGCGUGACUGCUCGCUCUUCGUUUGUCGCUCGAAUUCUAUUCGCUGAUCCUCGCCGCUCUUGACUCCCACGAAAGUGUUUGAGUACUCCUCGUCCUGGUGCAUACAGUGUUUAUACAGUCUACGAAGGAAUUGGCAGCGGCGACGAAUGAUAGUGAUAAACUGAAUGACAUCAACGGCGAAGUCAUCCAGACGGUUGACACUCCCGCGUUUCCCCUGCCAGCCCUCAGAGAGGCCGUGUCCCUGGAAAUCCAUGGCCGCGACCAGAAAGCCUGCCUUGUUUAGCGCCUCCACCCAACUCCCUUGGUACUGAGCGUGCCAUGACACAGACGCGCGCUCUUGCCCACUUAUUUCGGAGCUUCCAUCAGCUGGGUCGCACUUUCUGGUUUGUUCUUCUCCAGUCGUCGACGGCGCAUUCGCGGUGUUCCCCGCUUGCCCCUGUCGAUCAGGUUUGAGCUGAGACUCUCUUCCCUCCGCUGUCUUUGCACCACUCUCCGUCCUCGUGGGGACACCGGAAAGAGUAAAAGAGUCCGCCGUGGGCUCUUCCGCCAUAGGUUUAAACACACCAUUUAACGUGGCGGUUGCCGACACUGACGAAGAAGAUUCCAAGACGGCUUGAUACCCCACCACCGUCGGGUCUCUACGUCUGUGGCCAGGCGGCAGAGGCUUGUAGAGCCAGGCAAGCCGAGAGUGGUUGCAGUAACCAUGGAGAAGCACAAUAACUCCUCGGCAGCCACAAACAGCUUCCGCUUUGUCCAGAAGCGCCUGUUCGGGUCGUGGUGAUAUCCCACAGACCACCCCAUGGGCGUCUAACGUGAGAGCACGUCUCCCACUGCUGAUGAGACGACUUUGCCGAGUAAGAAGCGAGCGGGAGGCAGGUGAGGACGGAUACGGAGGGUCGCAAGUUCCACUCCGAGCAACAUUCGCCUUCCCUCUGAGGAAGUCUACCGGAGUAGAGGAGGCCGGCACCGUCAUUCCCGAGCUCAGUGCCGUACCGGAUCUGGUAGGCGAGCACGAAGAGUGUCGAUGAGGCAUCAGAGAGGCAUCGCAUGCGCCAGAAGACGAAGAGGAUCGACCAAGGCCGCCGCACGACGUUCUCGGAAGGCUAUGAACUAGGCCACUCUCUUGAUUUCCCCCAGAUUGAUCUUGCUUUUGCGCCUGACAAGGGUUCCCCAUCUUUUGGCCUUUGUGCGGCGCUUGAGGGUACCACAAGUACGUAUGGAUACGAAGACCCUGCGAAUUCAAAAAGGCACCGUGCUCGGGCUUGUUGUCAUAGGGAAACUCCACUGCGUCAGUGAUGGGAGCCUCUAAAGACACAAACCGGCACGCCUCGUCUUGAUCGAGUUCGAUCCAUUCGUCUUUCCCGCGCGAGACGUCCGAAUGACUGUCGGACGAGCGGCUGCGGCCGCUCCCCUGGGAAUUUCCCAUUGCGAACAAGUCGCGAUCGAACGCACAAACGUGUCAGCUACCGUGAAACGGAAAAGAAAAAAACACAUCGAGAGGCAUACCCGGACCUUCAGAUGGCAAGAUAAGUGACGGAACUGGAAACAGACGAUGCCCCUGAAAACGAUUCAUACACCAAUUCACCAGGUGUCCAGACACCUCAGUUGCGUCCCGCACAAACCAGUACUACACGGACGCGCAAGUGCCAAGCAGACAUAGUGCAGAGACCAAAUGACACAUUUCCGACUGUGGUUGAAAAUAACACGACUGGAUGGACAGCAUUGCAGGGCAGUCUCUCUUGUUCUGGAGUACAGACUCGUACCCUCCAAAAAACGCGGGAUCACGGGCUAACACGAAAAAAGCGCGAAGGAUCCGUUCGUGGAAAAGUUCAGCAAAAAUGAUGCACACCCGCAAAAUGGUCAGAAAAGGCACAAGCGAGCGAACAUGAAAGACCACAGUUAGCCGAGAAAGUUCUACAAGAACCAAACUGGAGAAUGGUAGAUGUGUGCCGUUUUUUCAGUGUGUACAUGCUCGGCAAUUUUCGGAAACGUGCGCUUCUGUGUACUGUAGGGGGGCCAACGACAAAAACGCCACGCCAUUUCCCGGGUAGCUGUACUGCAGGAACGAGUUAGAGGAGAGUGCUCGCCGUGAUCUUAAAUGACCAUUUUUUUCGCAAACCCCGUCAGAGGGAACAGACUGAGCGCGAUUGACGGACGAUACAGAUUUCUGUCGGCGUUUGGACGGCCAGCAAGGAAGAGACACUGCAUGCGAGACAAGUUCUUGUUAAUAUCGACUGG